rnacentral:rRNA from 1 species
AUGGGACAUGAUAAGGAGGCGUGCGAGAAGAAGAGGGUUGGGUUACCCACCAAGGCCUAUGACUCUACGCUGAGAUGCUCCCCGUUCAAAAAGUUUGAUCGUAGAGCUGUAUUCACGCCAUCACCAGGACAACCACGAGCAAAACGGAGUAUGGACUUCUCUUUGGGGAGUGCGUCGUCGGCUACGCGCUCACAAGCAUCGGGGAAUGCCAGGGGAAGAGGCGAGGGCUCACAUGAAAUACCAACCAGGGUGGACGCUAUGGAUGGUUUUGAGGAAAAUGAGGCGACGGCACUGCAGGAGGAGGAUGACCAAUUGGCAGACCAUGUUGAGAAAAUGCAGCUACGGCUGGGCACGGAGCAACCUGAGUGCAGCAAAUUGCAAUACCUGAAACAACAGUUUGAAGCACAGGAGCAUGAAGCGGGAAAAGGAUCUGUGAGACCGCGGAAGAAGAAGAUAACAUCACAGCCGAAAAAAUCUGCUGCAGUUAAGAAGAAUGGGGCGCUUGUGAUCCGUGACAAGCCAAGGGGAGAGGAUAUGAUACCGGCUUUGUGGGGGCUGGAUACGCUCCAGGUCUCCUUUGGUAGCGCGGUGGACUCCAUGGAUUACAAUGACUCCAUUCUGGGGAAAUGA